AAGAAGCUUACAUGGUUCUGCACAGGGAAGUUUUUACUGGGAAGCUUUGCUAAAUCCUACGCAGUGCUGUAGUAACAAAUAAGAGCUUGGAAAGAGCAAGAGUUCUUGGCACCUAUUCUGCAGGUGAGAAUUUUCUACUUGUCAGAAGCACUUAGCUCUCGUGGAUUUACAGUGCUUUCUGAUGUCAUUUUGAAGAAAAAACUUUACAUUCAAGCCUUUUGUCACAGGACAUGUAGUCUCAUUGCACCUGCCUCAACUCUUAAGGCAAGUUUAUCCUGUGAAGUGUCGAACAACCUUAUCUUUCUUCAGAACAGGAGCUGAGGACUCUGAAAACCUCAAGAAAUGUCUCUGUUUACUGGAAGACCAGACAGCACAUCAUAUAAACAUACCCUCCGGGCUUUCUGUAGGAGGAGGAGGAAGUCUUUAUCUUCCAUCACAAAAGGGAGGUCAAAAGGACCAAGCGAGUGCCAGGCCAAGUAACUUCUGUUGUUCUAGAGUUCAUUUUUGGAGGAGAGCCAUUCUCGUUGUGUAACACUGAUGCAGCACAUUUCAUUAGCUGUGUACAGAUCCAAGAAUAAAUUUUGGCCUUGACCGUGGAAUGUUCACCCACUUUCAAGUAUGGAUGUGACCUGCCUUCUUCUGUGACUAACAGGGUAACCAGAGGCAGUGGAACAUACACCAGGACUAGAGAGAAUAAAACCAGAGGGAAAGCAAGCUGUCAAGAGAACAGUGUACUGAAAAGGAAAAAUGUAAAACAUGACUUCUAUUUACCAUGAUUAAUAUGUAAAGUUAACAUGUUUGUCAUGGAAUAUAUUAAUAUGUAUGUUUUCCCAUUAUGUAGAUCUUUUCUUAUAUUACUUAUUAGAAAGGGAUAUAAUCACAAUGAUGGGGCAAGAAUGCCACUUAAAAAUUAGGUGAUGCCCAGUCAACAUAAUAUAACCACUACAGUGUCAUUUCUGAUUUAGAUGCUGUGAUAUCAGCGUAAUUGCCGCUGGGAAGAAAUUAUAAUGGUUGUUAAUGAUAAAUAAAAUGACAAGAAGGAGGAUCCUCCUUCACAUAUAAUUCCAAGCAAAACUCAACUGCUGACUUCCUUAAGCACUCAGUGCCAUUCACUGAUGAAGAGGAAAUAAGCAGGUUUAUUGUAGCUGCAUGGCCAUACAAACAGCACUGCCGUUUCCUAAGCCUGAGCUUAGACAUUAUGGGCCUAACAGGAUUUCACCACACUAUUUUCACUCAGGGGAGAUGUAAUAGUGAAGCUCACAUAAAGUGAAUCUUAAUACAAAGUUAAUAUUAUUCUAACAGAAAGCACUGUAGCUAGCAAACACAAACAUAAGCAAAAACAGGGUGAAGGUGAGUAUACAAUCAUGCAUGUGGAUACUUUUCAAAGCUCUUAAAUACUCCAGUUUUGUCUCUGUAAACAUAGGCAGCCUUAACCCAUGGAUCAAAAGACCUUCCUACAUUUGUUUUAUAUCAUAAAUGUGUCAAGAAUGAGCUACACAAAGCAGCGUUCACCAGCUGCACAUGGCUUGUAAGACUAGUUGAGAGCAUCUUUCAACUCAUUCACACAUUAAAAGCCAGGAAACCAACAUCUGAUUACUAGUCCCAGCAUUAAGAUCAAAGACCGUAUCUUCUCAUCUGUGAAGAGCAAGAGCCCAGUUCUUCUUACUCUGCAAUUACAGAAGACUCAAAACACAAAAUCAACAUUAUACUCCACAUCCCAUGAAUAACACAGUUCCAGUCUAUAAAAGCACAAAGCACCAAGUAAAACAUACAUACACUUUUUUUCCUAGACAUCAUGGAAAGGAGAUAAGUACAAGCAAAUCUGUAGUCACAUCUUCACAAUACUCCUGGUCUGCAGCCACAGAAAGCUCAGUCUGCUUGAUCCGCGGGCAUUAUCCUACUGUGUAAAAUUAUGACACCUCUUAAAAGGGAAAAUACCACAUACCUGCCAUUUACUCUGCAUUUGGUAUCUUCUAAAUCAAUUGGUAAAUGGUGGUGUAAGGGUUAAAUUAAAACAAUGCAUUAAAUUAAAACCACAUAAGAUACAGGCAGUGUUGGUUGACCUGUUAUUUCAUUAUCAUUGCUAAGUAUUUAGUUAUCCAUUAGUCAAGGAAGCUUAAAAAUACAAAUAAAUAGAAUGUCAACCUUA